UCAAUGUUAACUUUCUAUUUACAGUUUUCAGAUUUUAUUUUUCAAAAUAUAUAUGUGAAUAUGAACACAUUUGUAGGAAUUUCUGUUGGUGCUGCACAAAUAUCCCCUAGACCGUCACUGGCGCAUGCCUAUGAUACCUUCUUGAAAGCAUCAAUGAUGCUGUUCUUGAGAACAUUCUUCCAGUUGAAGUGUUGCCGAGUCAAUGCCCCAGGAAACAGUUUUUGGCCCAAUGAUGAGAAUUAAAAGAUAAAAAUCUUAGCUUCCUUGAAACUCAGAUGGAAUGACUUUAAGACAUUGUGGUGGUUUAUUCCUAUUCAAUGUGGGACACUUCUAAAGAGAAACUAAGGCUGCAGCAUUCUCCAUUAGCCUGACAAAGCUUAUGGAGUUUCUUCUUAACCAAUUAUCUUUUCUUCCCCUCUUUUCACAGAGGUCAGACCUGUACCAUGAUCUGAAGAGUCUUCCUUCUAACCUCUUUCUCCUCUUUACUCUUCACAUGUGUUUCCCAAAUAAAUCUCUUGUAUAUCUAAUCCUAUUUUGCCUGCUUUUCAAAAAAUCCAAACUAACACAAGUAGUGCCAAGAGUAGCAGGAGAAAACAAAGGUAAAAUGAAAUUUGGGGACUGGUCAACAAAUGACCUAAUGGUCAAAAUGGUUGCAAUUGGCAUAGCAAGGUUAACAUUAAAAUAAAAGCUAUAGCUGCUACCAGGAUACUUUGGACUCCAGGUGAAGAAAGGAGUCACCAUCUUGGCUAGAGUAAUUGAUGGUUAUAAGCAGGAGGUGGAAGGACUGCACCUGCAUCGAUGGUAAAGGUAGACAAAUGGACAUUUACAACAAUUAUAGCCUGAGAAGCCCAUGAUUUCCAAGGGCUUAGGCCCUCAGGAAUGAAGGUUUGGAUCACAACACAUGAUUAGGCACCAAGAUCUGUCAAAGUAAUAGCUGAAGGUUGGGGGAUUUUUUAGAAAGGAUAGAGGAGAAGAGAAAUGAUGAGUAUAAUUUAUGACCCCAAAACCAACUACAGCGGUGGAUCGUGUAGCUGGUGUUACCAGUCUCUCUAAGUUUCCCUUAAAUAAGGGAGGGUCAUAGGAAACAUGGUGAUGCCACUCCUUAAACUUGCAUUGAGAAUCAGAGUUGUGCAAUGCAGUGGGUGAAAUGUACAGUCUGUGAAACUAUGACCAGAUCUUGCUCUGCAAGGAGCAUAGUUGACAGACAGUACUAGCUGCCAGCUUUCUGGAUCCCCACUACAUUUGCGCAGCAAGCAUACUUCCUCAGAGCUACUCUAAGUGGAAAACUGAGCAGGGUGAAUUACUAAUGCCAGCACAUUCUUGCUAGGUCUGGGAUUCCUCUAAUGUGUAUCGGCCUAAAACUCGUAGAACUGUACUGAUGUUUGAGACUCUCCCUGUCAAAUCCUCCUUCCGCAGGUGGUAGACCUGGACUGCAUUCUAAAUGAUCUCUCUGAUCACUCUUUCUUUCUUCCAUUUAUCCUUAAUAGACAUUUCCUUUAAUAAAUGUAUUGCAUGUUUAUUCUGCUUCACAGAGUACUCAAACUAACAAAAGCAUAUUCCAAACCUUCUCCCAGAGGAUUCCAUGGGAAACUAAGUCCAGUUGCCCACAACAAUUAUUAGCCUGCACACUAGUAUACCCUGUUUUGAACUCUUUGCAUUCCGUCUUAUAUCCCUAUUCCUCUACUAGUCCCUCCUGAGAUUAAAUUAAUGUGGUGGUUUUAAAAUAAAUCUACAAAGUUUUUAAUACUCCUUUUGAGAGGUGGAGCCUAAUUUCCCUCCUCUUGAGUAUGAACUGGAAUUACUCACAGAGCUCUAAUAAAGAGAGUGUGGCAGAAAUUAUGUAUGUGCUGCUAAUAGCCAGCAACAAACUAAGACCUCCAGCCAACAGCCAUGUAAGUGAGCCCUUUCAGAAUCAGAACAUCUGUCCCAGUUAAACCUUCAGAUGAGGUAGCUGACAACUUGAAUAGAGCUUUAGAAGAGACUUUGAAGAACUAUCAAGCCAUUCCCAUACUCCCCACCCUCAGAAACUAUGUGAGAUAAAUAUUUGUUGUUUUAAGCUAUAAGCUAUCAGGAAACUUGUUAUGCAAAAAUAGACAAGUAAUACACUAUUAAAUCCAUCACACAUACUCAAAUCCUUCUCUCAGGAUCAACUGUGGAGAAAUGUUUUUUUUGUUUUCUUGUGCUUCAUUUUAUUGUGUUUUGAAGAUAUUGUGGUUUGUACAAAUUGAAGAUUUGUGGUGAACCUGUGUCGAAUAAGUCCGUUGGUGCCAUUUCUUCCAAGAGUAUGUGCUCAGUUUGUGUUUCUGAUCAUUAGUAAUUUUUAGCAAUAAAGCAUUUUAUAAUUAAACUAUUAACAUUCCUUUUUAAGACAUAAUGCUAUUGCACACUUAACAGUUUAUAAUAUAGCAUAAAUAUAGCUUUUAUAGGCACUGGAAAACCAAAAUAUUCAUGUGACUCUUUAUUGUCAUUUUCACUUUAUUGCAGUGGUCCUGAACUGUACCUGAGACAUCUCUGAGUAUUGCCAAGUCCUGGGCCAAUUUGUGUACAGGCCUCUGGCCAAUUGUGUCACCUCUUCUGCAUUUCACCUGCAUCGUCAAAUGUGGAGGACUGGAGGCAGUGAGAGACUGAUGCAAACUCCGGAGAGAAACUGAGACUCCUAAAAGUACUGUUUACCACAAUGAACACACUUUUAUCAUGUCAGCAACUUCCAUCUCUACAUUGCCCUGCGUUAAGAAUAUACUGGGAGCUGAUAUAACCUCAGUGAUGGUAAAACAGGAUAUAGAAUCCAGAAAACAUUCCUGAAAUGGACCAAACAUCAAUACUCUGAAACAGAAGUGGAAAUGAAACUGAAACAGAAAAAGUGAAAGGUGAAGACAGACAAUGGUACCACUGAAAUAAGCACUUUUAUUUCAAUGGGCAUGAUAGAUUCUAGAGUGUUAGAAGACACUCAGCUGCUUAACCACCAGGAGCAAUGUGCAUGUGACUUCUGCUAUAGGUAGUUUUGCAAAGCAGAAUUUCAGAAUUUAGAAGAUUAUUACUCUGAUGUGAGAGUCUGGCUGUGCCUGUGACUUAAUCUACUGUAAGUAAAUAAAGUGAGAUGUGAAUUCAUGUCCUUAAAAAAUAUUUCUUCUUCUUCACCUUGUUCUUAAUAUAAUUCUUCAGUGAACAUAAUUCUUGAUGUAAGCUUUAUUUUACUAAAUAACGCACCUACUCAGUAUAGGUCUUCUUAUUUUCAAAGCGAACUCGUGAGAAGUUCAGACUCUCUGGAAAAAAAUAAAUCUAUGAUUUUUCUUUUGCAUGUGAAUUCCACCAGCAACAGUAGGGCCUGUUUCGUGAUUUGUUAUGUAUGAGGCCAUUUUGUUCUUGUAAUACACAUGAAGGAGCAUUUUCUGUGCUUCAUAAUUGAGCAAUAAGACAUCAACAGCAAGCGCCUUCCUCUGACUCCAUGGAAUAUUUACAAGAAUGAAGGCUGAAGUGCAAGUGAUUUCAAUCAUCAAAACAGUGCAAUAAUCUCAAAGAAAAAAAUACUUGAAACUCCUAAUGCUAUUCAAAAUUGAAAUUAUAAAAAUGGAAACAUCUGCAACUACUGGAUCUAUUCACUGUGUAUUAUUAAUUUGGGGAUGCCGUUGUUAGCAAAUCAGAAAAUUCCAUUUGUGCUAAGAGUUCUGAAACUAUUCCACAAUGAGAAGUUACUUAUUUUUCUAUUGACAUUUUCUAAGCAAAUGGCUUAUUCUUGCAAUUCAUUUGAUAGUAAAACUGUACAAAUAUUUCUCAGGGGAGUCCAGUUACUUUGAAAAAAGAAGAAAGUCUCAUUGAUUGUUUCCAGAUUCGGAAGCUGGAAAAUGAGACUCUGUCUCUGAUAGAAAACAUGCAUUUUAGGAGCUGAACACAUGGAGAUUCCUGGAGGAUGGUUAGCCUAGGGAGGGUAUGGAAACUCCACGCCUCCUUUCUUAUACCUUGCCCUAUGCACCUUUUCAUCUGUAUCCUUUGUAAUACCCUUUAUAAUAAACUGGUAAAUGUAAGUAAGUAGUUUCCUGAGUUCUGUCAGCAGCUCCAGCAAAUUAAUGGAAACCAAAAUGGGGCUGUGGGAACUCCAACCUGAAGCCAGUCCAUUGGCCAUUCAGGAGGCCUGGACUUGUGACUGGUGUGUGUGGGGGAUUUGGGGGCCAUUUGUGGGGAUUGGGCCCUCAAGCCGUGGGAUCUGACACUAUCUCCAGGUAGACAGUGUUGGAAUUGAAUUGGAGGACAUGGAGCUGGUGUCUGCUGCUCGGUGUGUGGGGCCAAACCCCUGCAAAUUGGUCAUAGAAGUUUUCUGUGUUGAUGAUUAUUGUGGUGGUGUGACAGCAGAGGAAAAACAUCUUGAGAGAGUUUUUUUUCUGACAUACUGGGUGGUAGUGGUAGGAUAUUCUGGACUGGCACAGGCUCAGAGAAACAUCUGGUUUGGAAAGAGAAAGGAUAAAAAGGUGAAGGGAUGAAGAACCUUUGAUUCCUAUGUGGCCACGUGGCCACCCACUGUAUAAAGCUACAGCUGAGUUGAGAUCAGCUACUAAAGGUAAAGGUUACCAGUGGACUUUAGAGAUGAACCUAACUUCCAGUGAAUUGGUUCACUGGAUAUAUAAGGAAAUGCAAACUAUGAAAAAAAGCAAAAUAUUCAAUCCCUUGGCUAUUGCUAUGUAUAAUAGCUAAAAUGAAACUAAGAGAGCGUUGGGUUGGGCUUUGAGGCUGGAUCAAGCUCAGAUGUGAGUUUGUCUGAGCUCAGGCCACUAGCCUCAGUGACACCCACAAUGGAGAAAAUUAUACCAGAACAACAGAAACUACCUCUGAGACCUGUGGUUACCAAGAAUGUAGUUAAUGUGGGGGAAGAGCAAAAUCAAGCACUAUGGUUUGGAUUUGUGUCCCAGGCCAAAUCUCAUGUCCCCAGUUGUAAUCCCCAAUGUUGGAGGAGGGGCUUAGUGUGAGGUGAUCGGAUCAUGGGGGUAGAUUUCUCCCUUGCUGUUCUCUUGAUAGUGAGUUUUCAUGAAAUCUGGUUGUUUAAAAGUGUGUAGCACCUCCUCCUUCACUCUCUUCCUCCUGUUCUGGCUGUAAGACAUGCCUGCUUCCCCUUCGUGUUCCUCCGUGAUUGAAGGUUUUUGAGGCCUCCCAGCCAUGCUUCCGGUAUAGCCUGUGGAACCAUGAGCCAAUUAAACCUUUUUUCUUUAUUAAUUACCUGGUCUCAGGUAUUUCUUCAUAGCAAUGAAAGAACAGACUAAUACAGAAGAUUGAUACCAAGGAAUGGGGCACUACUGUAAAGACACCUGAAAAUGUUGAAGUGACUUUAGAACUGGCUAACACCCAGAGGUUGGAAGAGUUUGGCUUCCAUGUGAUGCUAAGCCUGUGGAUGUAAAUGAGGGAAACACAAGGGAAAGUUUGGGACUUCCUACAGGCUUGUUAAAUUGUUGUGACCAAAAUGUUAAUAGUGAUAUGGACAAUGAAGUCCAGGCUGAGGUGGUCCCAGAUAGAGAUGAGGAACUUACUGGGAACUGGAAUAAUGUUUACUCUUGCUAUGCUUUAGCAAAAAGACUGGUGGCAUUGUGCCCCUGCUCUAGGGAUCUAUAAAACUUUGAACUUGAGAGAGAUGUUUUAGGGUGUGUGGUGGAAGAAAUUUCUAAGCAAUAAAAUGUUCAAAAUGUAGCCUGGAUGCUUUUAGCAGCCUAAACUUCUAUUUCUGAACAAUGAAAUGAUGUAAAACUGGAACUUAUGUUUAAAAGGGAAGAAGAGUUUAAAAGUUUGGAAAAUUUGCAGCUCAGCCAUGUGGUAGAAAAGAAAAAUCCAUUUUCUUGGGAGGAAUUCAGGCCUGCUGCAUAAAUUUGCAUAAGUAAGGAGUAUCCCCAAGAUAAUGGGGAAAAUGCUUCAAAGGCAUUUCAGAAACCUUUAUGGAGGCCCCUGCCAUUGGAAGCCCAGAGGCAUAGGAGGGGAAAAUGGUUUCCUGGGCCAGGCCCAGGGCCCUGAUGCUCUGUGUAGCCUUGGGACAUGGUGCCCUUUAUUGUGUCCAUUCCAACUCCAGCCAUGGCUAAAAUGGGUCAAGGUACACCUCAGGCCAUUGUUCCAGAUGGUAGAAGCCAAUAGCCUUGGUGGCUUCCAUGUAAUGCUAAGCCUGUGGGUUUAAAGAAGGCAAGAGUUGAGGCUUGGGAGCCUCUGCCUAGAUUUCAGAGGAUGUAUGAAAAUUUUUAAAUGUCCAGACAGAAGUCUGCUGCAGGCUUGGAGUGCUCAUGGAGAACCUAUACCAGGGCAGUGUGAAGGAAAAAUGUGGUGUUGGAGUCCCCAAAAAGAGUCCCCACUGGGGCGCUGUCUAUUGAAGCUAUGAGAAGAGGGCCACCAUCCUCCAGAACCCAGAAUGUUAGAUCCACCAACAGCUUGCACCAUGCACCUGGAAAAGUUGCAGGCACUAAACGUCAGCCCUUGAGAGUAGCCAUGGGAGCUGAGCCCUGCAAAGGCACAGGGGCAGAGCUGUCCAAGGCCUUGGGAGCUUACUUCUUGAAUCACCGUGGUCUGGAGGUGAGACCUGGAAUCAAAGGAGAUUAUUUUGGAGCUUUAAGAUGUAAUGACUGACCUGCUGGGUUUUGGACGUGCACAGGUCUGUAGCUUCUCUUAUUUGUCUGAUUUCUCCCUUUUGGAAUAUGUGUAUUUAUCCAAUGCCUGUACCCCAAUGGUAUCUUGGAAGUAACUAACUUGUUUUUUUUUUUUUUAUUUUACAGGUUCAUAGGCAGAAGGGACUUGCUUGUCUCAGAUAAGAGUUUGAACUGUGGACUUUAGAGUUAAUGCUGAAAUAAGUUAAGACUUGAGAUACCGUUAAAAAGGGGUGAUUGUAUUUUACAAGAUGAGAAGAACAUGAUAUUUGAGAAGGGCCAGAAUAAUAUGGCUUACAUUUGUGUUCCCACCCAAAUCUCAUGCCCUCAGUUAUAAUCUCCAGUUUUUAAGGAGGGGCCAGGUGGGAUGUGAUUGGAUCGUGGAGGUAUAUUUCCCCCUUGUUGUUCUCAUGAUAGAAAGUUCUCAUGAGAUCUGGUUGUUUAAAAGUGUGUAGCAACUCCUCUUUCAUUCUCUUCCUCCUGCUCCAGCCAUGUAAGAUGUACCAGCUUCCCCUUCACCUUCUGCCAUGACUGAAGGUUUCCUGAGGCCUCCCCACCCAUGCCUCCUGUACAGCCUAUAGAACCAUGUGCAAAUUAAACCUUUUUCUUUAUAAGUUA